UACGAAGGGGGCUAGCGUUGCUCGGAAUCACUGGGCGUAAAGGGUGCGUAGGCGGGUUUUUAAGUCAGAGGUGAAAUCCUGGAGCUCAACUCCAGAACCUGCCUUUGAUACUGAAAGUCUUGAGUAUGGGAGAGGUGAGUGGAACUGCGAGUGUAGAGGUGAAAUUCGUAGAUAUUCGCAAGAACACCAGUGGCGAAGGCGGCUCACUGGCCCAUAACUGACGCUGAGGCACGAAAGCGUGGGGAGCAAACAGGG
rnacentral:rRNA from 1 species